GUGGAUAUAGCUCAUUGGUAGAGCACAUGCUUUACAUGCACGGGGGUCCUGAGUUCAAUCUCUGGUGCAUACA
rnacentral:tRNA from 1 species